GGCAGAGAAACACACGA
rnacentral:misc_RNA from 1 species